AUUGAACGCUGGCGGAAUGCUUUACACAUGCAAGUCGAACGGCAGCACGGACUUCGGUCUGGUGGCGAGUGGCGAACGGGUGAGUAAUACAUCGGAACGUGCCCAGUCGUGGGGGAUAACGUAGCGAAAGCUACGCUAAUACCGCAUACGAUCUACGGAUGAAAGCGGGGGAUCGCAAGACCUCGCGCGAUUGGAGCGGCCGAUGGCAGAUUAGGUAGUUGGUGGGGUAAAGGCUCACCAAGCCGACGAUCUGUAGCUGGUCUGAGAGGACGACCAGCCAAACUGGGACUGAGACACGGCCCAGACUCCUACGGGAGGCAGCAGUGGGGAAUUUUGGACAAUGGGCGCAAGCCUGAUCCAGCCAUUCCGCGUGCAGGAUGAAGGCCCUCGGGUUGUAAACUGCUUUUGUACGGAACGAAAAGGCUCUGGUUAAUACCCGGGGCUCAUGACGGUACCGUAAGAAUAAGCACCGGCUAACUACGUGCCAGCAGCCGCAGUAACAC
rnacentral:rRNA from 1 species